GAUGAAGAACGUAGCGAAAUGCGAUACUUGGUGUGAAUUGCAGAAUCCCGUGAACCAUCGAGUCUUUGAACGCAAGUUGCGCCCGAAGCCACUAGGCCGAGGGCACGCCUGCCUGGGCGUCACACGCCGUUGCCCCCCCAUCUACUCCUUCGGUAUUGCGGGGGGGCGGAUGAUGGCCUCCCGUGCGCCUAGCCGCGCGGUUGGCAUAAAUACCAAGUCCUCGGCGACGCACGCCACGACAAUCGGUGGUUGCGAAACCUCGGUUGCCCGUCGUGUGCGUUCGUCGCGCAUCGAGGGCUCGAAAAAAUGCUCGGCUCCGGCUGGGCUUUCAACGCGACCCCAGGUCAGGCGGGGUUACCCGCUGAAUUUAAGCAUAUCAAUAACGGAGGA
rnacentral:misc_RNA from 1 species